UUGCUAUGAUGAGUACAUUCAGUUCAGAGAGCUCUAAAAUGCUUGGUGAAGCAUCGACUGGAAUGUCGAUCCUGAGCGGUUACCUGAGCAA